rnacentral:lncRNA from 1 species
AUGGUUUUCUUUUGCGGGGGCAAGGUCAGAAAUACACCUUCACCACCCUACCUCAGCGGUACAUCAGCUCUCCAGUCCUACCAUAAUUUAGUUUGCAGGAGUCUUGAUCAUCUUUCCAUUCUACAAGACAUCUCAUUCAUCCAUGACGUAGAUGGCAUUAUGCUAACUGGACCAAGUCUGAUCUGCUGGAUCCCGAGGGAGGAAUGCUUCCACCACGAGACACAAUUGAACUAUAUUCCAUUGAACUAGAAGUUAAGACUGCCACCCAACCACUUUGGGCUCCUCAUGCUUUUGCGUCAACAGGCCAAUAAGGGAGUUAUGGUGUUGGCUAGGGUAAUUGUUCCAGACUACCAUGGGGAAAUCUGACAUAAAAGAGGUAAAAAAGAGGAUAUCUGCAACACAGGAGAUCCCUUAGGGUGUCUCAGUAUUACUGUGCCCUGUGGUUAAAGUCAGUGGAAAACUACAACAACCCAGUUCAGGCAAGACUAUGAAUGGUCCAGACCCUUUGAGAAUAAAGGUUUGGGUUACCUACGCUUCACCUGCAAACUGACCCUGGCCUCCUAGGUUAAGAAACAUGACCAUCUGAGGUUCUUGCUGAAGGCAAAGGGAAUACAGAAUGGGUAGUCAAAGACGGUAGUUAUAAGCUUGAGCUACAACCGUGUCAUCAGUUACAGAAAAGAAGACUAUAAUUGUCAUGAGUAUUUCAUCCCUAUUUUUUAAAGUAUGUUUGUGUGUAUGCAUACAUAUAUUAAAUAAGUAUCUUUGUUUUCUUUCCUCUCUUAUCCCUUAUCAUGUAACAUAACAUAUAGUAACUUUAUACUAGUAUUCUAAGUACUAGCAUUGUUAAUACUUAAAAUACAUCUUUGUACUUAAAGUAUGGGAUAUCAGGAGAGUACACAUCACUCACAGACUUUAUCACCUCUUCUGGGAAAGGGAUUACUGCUUUUUUUGUUGUAUGCAAGAUAGUUGUAUCAGGUUCAGUGGAAUUGUGGCCUUGUUAUUAUGAUUAUUUGGAGGCUAACUAUGGUUUAAGGAGAUACAUAUGGAUGCCAAAUUAACAAAGGGUAAAAUUGUGAUGGUUAAUUUUAUGUGUCAACUUGACUGAGUUAAAGGAUGCCCAGAUAGUUGGUCAAACAUUAUUUCUAGAUGAGUCUAUGCUGGUGUUCCCAGAGUAGAUUAGCAUUUGAAUCUGCAAACUGAGUAAAAAAGAUCCAUUGACACUGGUGUUAGUAGAUAUCAUGCAAUCCAUUAAGGGCUCACCUGAAUAAAACCAAAAGGCAGAGGAAGAAAGAAUUCUCUCACUCCCUUCUCGAGCCAUGACAUCCAUCUUCUUUUUCCCUUGAACAUCAGAGUUACUGAUUCUCAGGCCUUCAUACUCCAGAACUUACACCAGUGGCCCCCCACACCCACCUCCAGUUCUCAGGCCUCAGCCUUGGAAUGGGAGUCUAUCAUCAGCUCCCCUCCUUCUCAGGCCUUUGAAUUUGGACUGAAUCACACCACUUGCCUUUCAAGUUCUUUAGCUUGCAGAGAAAGCAUAAUGUGGGACUUACUGGCCUCUGCAAUCAUGUGAGCCAAUUUCCAUAAUGAAAAAGCUAUUAGUUCUGUUUCCCUUGAAAACCCUAAUAGAAGUGGUAAGAAAUAGACAGCUGUCCUGACUCCAGAUACAACAGCAUCAGGGUUUGUGUUUGGCCAGGAGAGUAGGCUAUUCCCUCUUCACUCCCAGAGAAAGUCCUCCUCCACCUUUAUCUCAGACCCACACACACUGAGAAAGGAGUGUCAUGGUGGUUAUCUUCGCUUGCCAUCUCCUCCCUCCAGGGAGGUAGGAGAAGAAGGGAACGUGAGCUGUUCAUUCCUGGGAUCCGCAUGGCUCCUCUUCAAGCUCUGCUCCUAUUUUUCCAUACUCUGCUUUUUAAAAUUUUUAUCUUUGUUGACAGUACAAUAUGAACAUAAUUUCCACACUUUCUAAGCAAGCCUUGGCUUUAAAAUGACUACAGUCGCUGGGCGCAGUGGCUCGAACCUGUAAUCCCAGCACUUUGGGAGGCCGAGGCGGGUGGAUCACAAGGUCAAGAGAUCGAGACCAUCCUGGUCAACAUGGUGAAACCCUAUCUCUACUAAACAUACAAAAAAUUAGCUGGGCAUGGUGGCGCAUGCCUGUAAUCCCAGCUACUCAGGAGGCUGAGGCAGGAGAAUUGCCUGAAUCCAGGAGGCGGAGGUUGCGGUGAGCCGAGAUCACGCCAUUGCACUCCAGCCUGGGUAACAAGAGCGAAACUCCAUCUCAAAAAAAAAAAAAGACCACAAUCAGACUCUCCAGAUGAUUGCAGUUUUUUAGAGAUGUCUUUCCUCUGCACAGCCAAAGUAAAAAGUAUGAGCAGUUCUACUAAACUAAGUCAUAAGCCCAGCCUCCCCUCAUGGCCUCCCUCUGGAACUGGGCAGUAAUGCUUCCAUGUCAGGAGUCAUGCUAUCUUUGGGAAAAUGCUCUGUUUCACUGGGUCCCUGGCAGCAGGGGUCUCUGCUUUAUCCCAGUCUGUCCCUAUGUCUGUGCUUUGGUGGGUAUCUUAAUCUCUAUUUGUAGCUAGUUUUCUCGCACUAUUAACAGAGUAAUCGGUGUAACCCUGAGCCAAGACCUGGGCUUAUCCUGCGAGUCUUCUGACCCGCUCAUUCCCCUGCCCCAGGCUCUGUGUAUCAAGAACUUGACAGGGAUGCUCAAU